CAAAUUUGUAGGCGGAUCGGCAGCUACACAUGCAGUCGAGCGGAUGAGAGGAGCUUGCUCUUCGAUUCAGCGGCGGACGGGUGAGUAAUGCCUAGGAAUCUGCCUAGUAGUGGGGACAACGUUUCGAAAGGAACGCUAAUACCGCAUACGUCCUACGGGAGAAAGUGGGGGAUCUUCGGACCUCACGCUAUUAGAUGAGCCUAGGUCGGAUUAGCAGUUGGUAGGGUAAAGGCCUACCAAGGCGACGAUCCGUAACUGGUCUGAGAGGAUGAUCAGUCACACUGGAACUGAGACACGGUCCAGACUCCUACGGGAGGCAGCAGUGGGGAAUAUUGGACAAUGGGCGAAAGCCUGAUCCAGCCAUGCCGCGUGUGUGAAGAAGGCCCUCGGGUCGUAAAGCACUUUAAGUUGGGAGGAAGGGCUUACAGCGAAUACCUGUGAGUUUUGACGUUACCAACAGAAUAAGCACCGGCUAACUUCGUGCCAGCAGCCGCGGUAAUACGAAGGGUGCAAGCGUUAAUCGGAAUUACUGGGCGUAAAGCGCGCGUACGUGGCUUGAUAAGUUGGAUGUGAAAUCCCCGGGCUCAACCUGGUAACUGCAUCCACACCUGUCUGGCUAGAGUGCGGGGAGAGGGUAGCGCAAUAUACAUCGUAGCGAUCAAAUGGGCAAAUAGAGCAA
rnacentral:rRNA from 1 species